rnacentral:rRNA from 1 species
AACGAACGCUGGCGGCAUGCCUAACACAUGCAAGUCGAACGAGACCUUCGGGUCUAGUGGCGCACGGGUGCGUAACGCGUGGGAACCUGCCCUUAGGUUCGGAAUAACUCCCCGAAAGGGGUGCUAAUACCGGAUAAUGACUUCGGGCCAAAGAUUUAUCGCCUUUGGAUGGGCCCGCGUUGGAUUAGCUAGUUGGUAGGGUAAAAGCCUACCAAGGCGACGAUCCAUAGCUGGUCUGAGAGGAUGAUCAGCCACACUGGGACUGAGACACGGCCCAGACUCCUACGGGAGGCAGCAGUGGGGAAUAUUGGACAAUGGGCGAAAGCCUGAUCCAGCAAUGCCGCGUGAGUGAUGAAGGCCUUAGGGUUGUAAAGCUCUUUUACCCGGGAUGAUAAUGACAGUACCGGGAGAAUAAGCUCCGGCUAACUCCGUG